CAAGCGUGGAGCAUGUGGUUUAAUUCGACGCAACGCGCAGAACCUUACCAGCCCUUGACAUGUCCAGGACCGGUCGCAGAGAUGUGACCUUCUCUUCGGAGCCUGGAGCACAGGUGCUGCAUGGCUGUCGUCAGCUCGUGUCGUGAGAUGUUGGGUUAAGUCCCGCAACGAGCGCAACCCCCGUCUUUAGUUGCUACCAUUUAGUUGAGCACUCUAAAGAGACUGCCGGUGAUAAGCCGCGAGGAAGGUGGGGAUGACGUCAAGUCCUCAUGGCCCUUACGGGCUGGGCUACACACGUGCUACAAUGGCGGUGACAAUGGGAUGCUAAAGGGCAACCUCUCGCAAAUCUCAAAAAGCCGUCUCAGUUCGGAUUGGAGUCUGCAACUCGACUCCAUGAAGUUGGAAUCGCUAGUAAUCGUGGAUCAGCAUGCCACGGUGAAUACGUUCCCGGGCCUU
rnacentral:rRNA from 1 species